UGUGGGAGGGGGCUUGCCCCCGAUAGCGGUGUGUCAGGCUGUGUAUCUGGUGACUGAUACUCCAUCGGGGGCAAGCCCCCUCCCACA
rnacentral:misc_RNA from 1 species